rnacentral:rRNA from 1 species
AACGAACGCUGGCGGCAUGCCUAACACAUGCAAGUCGAACGAGACCUUCGGGUCUAGUGGCGCACGGGUGCGUAACGCGUGGGAACCUGCCCUUAGGUUCGGAAUAACUCCCCGAAAGGGGUGCUAAUACCGGAUCAUGUCUUCGGUCCAAAGUUUUAUCGCCUUUGGAUGGGCCCGCGUUGGAUUAGCUAGUUGUUAGGGUAAAAGCCUACCAAGGCGACGAUCCAUAGCUGGUCUGAGAGGAUGAUCAGCCACACUGGGACUGAGACACGGCCCAGACUCCUACGGGAGGCAGCAGUGGGGAAUAUUGGACAGUGGGCGAAAGCCUGAUCCAGCAAUGCCGCGUGAGUGAUGAAGGCCGUAGGGUUGUAAAGCUCUUUUACCCGGGAUGAUAAUGACAGUACCGGGAGAAUAAGCUCCGGCUAACUCCGUG